GACCGUAAACCGACACAGGUGGGUAGGAUGAGAAUUCUAAGGCGCUUGAGAGAACUCAGGAGAAGGAACUCGGCAAAAUAGCACCGUAACUUCGGGAAAAGGUGUGCCCUUUGUAUGUGUAGCGCCUCGCGCGUGAAGCAGAAUAGGGUUGCAAUGAAAUGGUGGCUGCGACUGUUUAAUAAAAACAUAGCACUCUGCAAACACGAAAGUGGACGUAUAGAGUGUGACGCCUGCCCGGUGCCGGAAGGUUAAAUGAUGGGGUGCAAGCUCUUGAUUGAAGCCCCGGUAAACGGCGGCCGUAACGAUAACGGUCCUAAGGUAGCGAAUUUCCUUGUCGGGUAAGUUCCGACCUGCACGAAUAGCGUAACGAUGGCCACACUGUCUCCUCCUGGGACUCAGCGAAGUUGAAAUGUUUGUGAAGAUGCAAUCUCCCCGCGGCUAGACGGAAAGACCCCGUGCACCUUUACUGUAGCUUUACAUUGGACUUUGAUAACAUUUGUGUAGGAUAGGUGGGAGGCUUUGAAGUGGGUUCGCCAGAAUUCAUGGAGCCAACGUUGAAAUACCACCCUGAUGUUGUUGAGGUUCUAACCUAGAUCCAUUAUCUGGAUUGGGGACCGUGUAUGGUAGGCAGUUUGACUGGGGCGGUCUCCUCCCAAAUUGUAACGGAGGAGUACGAAGGUACGCUAGGUACGGUCGGAAAUCGUGCUGAUAGUGCAAUGGCAAAAGCGUGCUUAACUGCGAGACUGACAAGUCGAGCAGAUGCGAAAGCAGGUCAUAGUGAUCCGGUGGUUCUGUAUGGAAGGGCCAUCGCUCAACGGAUAAAAGGUACGCCGGGGAUAACAGGCUGAUUCCUCCCAAGAGUUCAUAUCGACGGGGGAGUUUGGCACCUCGAUGUCGGCUCAUCACAUCCUGGGGCUGUAGCCGGUCCCAAGGGUAUGGCUGUUCGCCAUUUAAAGUGGUACGUGAGCUGGGUUUAAAACGUCGUGAGACAGUUUGGUCCCUAUCUGCCGUGGGCGUUGGAAGUUUGAGUGGACCUGCUCCUAGUACGAGAGGACCGGAGUGGACGCACCUCUGGUGUACCGGUUAUGACGCCAGUCGUAUCGCCGGGUAGCUAUGUGCGGAAGAGAUAACCGCUGAAAGCAUCUAAGCGGGAAACUCUCCUCAAGAUGAGACUUCCCGAGGGUUUAACCCUCCUAAAGGUUCGUCGAAGACUACGACGUUGAUA
rnacentral:rRNA from 1 species